rnacentral:rRNA from 1 species
CAGGCUGCAACUCGCCUGCACGAAGUCGGAAUUGCUAGUAAUCGUAGGUCAGCAUACUACGGUGAAUACGUUCCCGGGCCUUGUACACACCGCCCGUCAAACCAUGAGAGUUGGCAACACCCGAAGUCGGUAGUCUAACCGCAAGGAGGACGCCGCCGAAGGUGGGGUUGAUGAUUAGGGUUAAGUCGUAACAAGGUACC